rnacentral:lncRNA from 1 species
AAACAUCAAUUUGAAAGAAAACAUGUAUUUAUUUACUUCCUCUACAGUUUUCCUGACUGCUACAUUUCAUAAGAAGGGAUUGUUUAUGAGGGUCAAGGAGCUGGAGGCCUGGGGAGGAGCUGGUGUUUUUGUUCAAGUCUGAGGGUCCUGGAGCUGGAGCCCAGGGGAGGAGCCGGUGCUACCACUGAUGUCUUAGGGUCGUGGAGCUGAAGAUCCAAGAGGAGCUGGUGCUGCUAUUCUAGCUUGAGUCUCAUGGAGCUGGAGACCCAGGGAGAAGAUGGUGCUGCUGUUCUAAUUUAAGGAUCGUGAAACAGAAGACCCAGAAAGGAGCUGGUGUUGUCGCUGCUCAAAUCUGAGGGUGUUGGAGCUGGAGCCUGGGGGUGGAGCUGGUGCUGCCUUUGAAGUCUGAGAGUCAUUGAGCUGGAGGUCCAGGAAGGAGCUGGUGCUGCUGUUCUAGGGUGAGGGUGGUGGAGCUGCAGACCCAGGGAGGAGAGGUCUUGUUCUAGUUUCAGGGUUGUGGAGCUGCAGACCCAUGGAGGAGCAAUGCUGUUGUAGUUCGAGGGUCAGGAAGCUGGCGACUCAGGGAGGAGAGUUCUUGUUCUAGUUCGAGGGUCAUCGAGCUACAGGCCCAGGCAGGUGCAAUGUUGUUGUAAUUCAAGGGUCAGGAAGCUGGCGACCCAGGGAGGAGAGGUCUUGUUGUUAUUUGAGGGUCAUGGAGCUGCAGACCCAGGCAGGAGCAAUGUUGUUGUAAUUUGAGGGUCCAGAAGCUGACGACGCAGGGAGGAGAGGUCUUGUUUGAGAUUGAGGGUCGUGGAGCUGCAGACCCAGGCAGGAGCAAUGUUGUUUUAGUUUGAGGGUCCGGAAGCUGGCAAACCAGGGAAAAGAGGUCUUGUUCUAGCUAAGGGUCGUCGAGCUACAGAUCCAGGGAGGAGCAGUGUUGUAGUUCGAGUCCGGAAGCUGGCGACCCAGGGAGGAGAGGUCUUGUUCGAGUUUGAGGAUCAUGGAGCCGCAGACCCAGGGAGGAACAAUGUUGUUGUAGUUCGAGGGUCCUGGAGCUGCAGACCCAGGGAGGAGCCAUGUUGUUUUGAGUGUCAUGGAGCUGGAGAUCCAUGGAGGAGUUGGUGCUGCCUUUCAAGUCUGGGAGUCAUUGAGCUGGAGAUCCAGGGAGGAACAAGUGUUGCUGUUCUAGUCUGAGGGUAGUGAAGCUGGAGACCCAAGGAAGAGCCGGUGCUGCUGUUCAUGCCUGAGUGUUGUGGAACUGAAGAACCAGAGAGGAGGCGGUGCUGCUGUUCUAGUUUAAGGGUAGUGGCGCUGGAGAUCCUGGGGAGAGCCGGUGCCGUCGUUUAAAUCUGUGGGUCCUGGAGCUGGAGCCCUAGGCAGGAGCUGGUGUUGUUGUUGUUGAAAUCCGAGGUCAUGGGGCUUGAGGUACAGGGAGGAUCCGCUGCUGCUGUUCAAGUCUGAGGGUCGUGUAGCUAGAGAGCGGGGAGGAGGUAGUCUUGGUGUCUAGUGUGAGGGUGGUGGAGCUGUACACCUGGGGAGGAGCUGGUACUGCUGUGUAGUUUGAGGGUCAUGGAACUGGAGACCUAGGGAGGAGCCAGUGCUACUGCCAUUUAAGUCAGAAGGUUGUGGAUCUGGAGUUUUGGGGAACAGCCCGUGCUGCUGUUUAACUGUGGGGAGGUUCCUGUGUGUCAGUUGAAGUUUGAUGGUUUGGGAGCUGGAGACCCAGGGAGGAGCCAGUGCUGCUGUUCUAGUUUGAGGGUAGUGGAGCUGGAGAUCCCGGGAAGAGCUGGUGCUGUCCUUUAAAUCUGUGGGUCCUGGAGCUGGAAAACUGGUGGGGAGCUAGUUCUGCCAUUCAUGUCUUAGGGUCGUGGAGCUGGAAAUCCAGGGAGGCAGUGGUGCUGCUGUUCUAGUUUAAGGAUCAUGAAGCUGGAGACCUGGAUAGCAGAUGGUGCUACCAUUAUUCAAAUCUGAGGGUCAUGGAGCCGGAGCCUUGGGGAGUUGCCGGUGCCGCCUCUCAAGUCUGAGAGUUGUUGAGCUGGAGAUGCAGGGAGGAGCCCGUGUUGCUGUUGUAGUUUGAGGGUCAUGGAGCUGGAGACUCAGAGAGGAGGGGUGCUGUUCUAAUCUGAGGGGUGUGAAUCUGGAGACCCAGGGAGGAGCUGGUGCUGCUGUUGCUUAAGGCUGAGGGUUGUGGAGCUGGAGACCUGGGGGUGGCUGGUGUUGCUGUUGUUCAAGUCAGAGGGUCAUGGGGCUUGAGGUACAGGGAAGAGCUCGUGCUGCGGUUGCAGGUUGAGGGUCAUGGAGCUGGAAAUCUAGGGAGGAGCCACUGCUGCUGUUCAAGUCUGAGGGUCGUGUAGCUGGAGAGCGGGGAGGAGGUAGUGUUGGUGUCUAGUGUGAGGGUGGUGGAGCAGUAGACCUGGGGAAGAGCCGGUGCUGUGUAGUUUGAGGGUCAUGGAACUGGAGACCUAGGGAGCAGCCAGUGCUACCACCAUUUAAGUCAGAGGGUCAUGGAUCUGGAGCUUUGGGUAACAGCCCAUGCUGCUGUUUAACCUUGGAGGGAUCCGGUGUGUCAGUUGAAGUUUGAGGGUUUGGGAGCUGGAGACCCAGGGAGGAGCUGAUGAUGCCAUUCUAUUUUGAGGGUCGUGGAUCUGGAGACCUUGGGAGAGGCUGGUACUGCUGUUGAAGUUUGACGGUCGUGGAACCGGAGACAGGGGAAGGAGCCGGUGCUGCUGCUGUUCAUGUCUGAGGGUUGUAGAGCUGGAGACCCAGGGAGAAGUCCAUACUACGGCUUUUUAAGUCUGAGGGUCAUGGAGCCUGAGACCUGGGGAGGGGCCAGUGCUGCUGUUCAAAUGACUCCUUCCUGGGUCUCCAGCUCCAUGACCUUCAAACUAGGACAGCAGCAGCAGAUCCUUCCGGGGUCUUCCAGCUCCAUGACCUUCACACUAGAACAGCAGCACCGGCUCCACCCUGGGUCUCCAGAUCCACGACCCUCAAACUAGAACAGCAGCACUGACUCCUCCCUGGGUCUCCAGCUCUACAACCCUCAGACUCGAGGAGCUGGAGACCUGGGGAAGAGCCAGGGCUGCUUUUCUACUUUGAGGGUUGUGGAGCUGGAGACCCAGGGUGCAGCAGCUGCUGCUAUUAUAGUUUGAGGGCCUUGGAGCCAGAAACUUUGUGAGGAGCCGGUGCUGCGUUUCAAAUCUGAGAGUCAUUGAGCUGGAGACCCAGGGAGGAACCGGUGUUGCUGUUCUAGCCUGAGGGUAGUGAAGCUGGAGACCCAAGGAGGAGCCGAUGCUGCUGUUCUAGUUUGAGGUUAGUGGAGCUGGAGGUCACAGGAAGAGCCGGUGCUGCUGUUUAAAUCUGUGGGUCCUCGAGCUGGAGCCCUGUGGGGGAGCUGGUGUUGCUGUUGUUCAAGUCUGAGCAUAAUGGGGCUUUAGGUACAGGGAGGAGCCGCUGCUGUUCAAGUCUGAGGGUCAUGUAGCUGGAGAGUGGGGAGGAGGUAGUCUUGGUGUCUAGUGUGAGGGUGGUGGAGCUGUAGACCUGGGGAGGAGCCGGUGCUGCUGUGUAGUUUGAGGGUCAUGGAACUGCAGACCUAGGAAGGAGCCGGUGCUACCGCCAUUUAAGUCAGAGGGUCAUGGAUCUGGAGCUUUGGGGAACAGCCCGUGCUGCUGUUUAACUGUGGGGAGGAUCUGGUGUGUCAAUUGAAGUUUGAGGGUUUGGGAGCUGGAGACCCAGGGAGGAGCCGGUGAUGCCAUUCUAUUUUGAGGGUCGUGGAUCUGGAGACCUGGGGAGAGGCUGGUACUGUUGUUGUAGUUUGAGGGUCGUGGAAGUGGAGACAGGGCGAGGAGCCGGUGCUGCUGCUGUUCAUGUCUGAGGGUUGUAGAGCUGGAGCCCCAGGGAGAAGUCCAUACUAUGGCUUUUUAAGUCUGAGGGUCAUGGAGCCUGAGACCUGGGGAGGAGCUGGUGCUGGUGUAUAGUUUGAGGGUCGUGGAACUGGAGACCUAGGGAGGAGCCGGUGCUACCGCCACUUAAGUCAGAGGUUCGUGGAUCUGGAGCUUUGGGGAAGAGCCCGUGCUGCUAUUUAGCUGUGGGGAGGAUCUGGUGUGUCAAUUGAAGUUUGAGGGUUUGGGAGCUGGAGAUCCAGGAGGGAGCCUAUGAUGCCAUUCUAUUUUGAGGGUCAUGUAUGUGGAGACCUGGGGAGAGGCCGGUACUGCUGUUGUAGUUUGAGGGUUGUGGAAGUGGAGACAAAGGUAGGAGGCGGUGCUGCUGCUGUUCAUUUCUGAGGAUUGUAGAGCUGGAGGUCCACGGAGGAACCAGUGUUGCUGUUCUAGUCUGAGGGUAGUGAAGCUGGAGACCCAAGGAGGAGCUGGUACUAUUGUUCAUGUGUGAGGAUUGUGGAGCUGGAGAACCAGAGAGGAGCCGGUGCUGCUGAUCUAGUUUGAGGGCCGUGGAGCUGGAGAUCCCGGGAAGAGCCAGUGCUGCCGUUCAAAUCUGUGGGUCUUGGAGUUGGAGUGCUGGGGUGACCCGGUUCUUUCAUUCAUGUCUUAGAGUCAUGGAGCUGGAAACCCAGGGAGGCGGCGGUGCUGCUGUUCUAGUUUAAGGAUAGUGAAGCUGGAGACCUGGACAGGAGCUGGUGCUACCACUGUUCAAAUCUGAGGGUCAUGGAGCUGGAGCCUUGGGGAGGUGCCGGUGCUGCCUCUCAAGUCUGUGAGUUGUUGAGCUGGAGAUUCAGGGAGGAGCCAGUGUUGCUGUUGUUGUUGGAGGAUUGUGGAGCUGGAGGCUGAAGAGGAGCUGGUGUUGCAGUUCAAGUUUGAUGGUCCUGGAGCCUUGGUUGGGAGCCAGUGCCACCUCCCAAGUCUGAGAGU